rnacentral:misc_RNA from 1 species
AUAUUUACUCAAUAAUGACAGGGUCGAUGAUCCCUUACUUAAAGAAGCUGAGGCAUUACGGCGGGGGGCUAGCUUUGGUGGCGGCGGACUAUGGUUCUACUGAGAGCUGGAUUGGGGUGAACAUGAGGCCAUCCGACCCUCCUGAGAAAGUGGCUUUCACAGUGAUACCAACAUUCGCUUACUUCGAGUUCAUACCGCUUUCGAGACGGUAUGAUGAG